rnacentral:rRNA from 1 species
CCUACGGGGUGCAGCAGUGAGGAAUCUUCGACAAUGGACGAGAGUCUGAACCAGCCAAGUAGCGUGAAGGAUGACUGCCCUAUGGGUUGUAAACUUCUUUUAUAUGGGAAUAAAAUGUUCCGCGUGUGGGAUUUUGUAUGUACCAUAUGAAUAAGGAUCGGCUAACUCCGUGCCAGCAGCCGCGGUAAUACGGAGGAUGCGAGCGUUAUCCGGUUUUAUUGGGUUUAAGGGGUGCGCAGGCGGAGGCACAAGUCAGCGGUAAAAUCGCGGGGCUCAACCCCACCUGGCCGUUGAAACUGUGGCCCUUGAGUGCGCGAAGGGUAGGCGGAAUGCGUGGUGUAGCGGUGAAAUGCAUAGAUAUCACGCAGAACUCCGAUCGCGAAGGCAGCCUACCGGCGCGCAACUGACGCUCAUGCACGAAAGCGUGGGUAUCGAACAGGAUUAGAUACCCUUGUAGUC